rnacentral:lncRNA from 1 species
ACGCCCUUUCCUGGAGCCCGCAGCUGGAACGAAGCCCCUUGAAGGCCUGACAUCAGAGGAACGGAACCUGGGAAUUCUGCUUGAGUGGCUGGAGCAGCGGUCACUGACCUCAUCAUGGUCCUCGUCAGCCAGUGAGCAACGCUUUGCAGUUUACAAAACACUUUCACGUCCAUUCGCUAGUUCGAUUUGGUCUUCGCAACCCUUGGUAAGAUCAUCCCAUUACCAAUUCCACCCCCGGAGAGAAGAGGAAGUUAGGAUCCGAGGUGGAGGUUGCGUAAAUUGCCCUCAGCGCCAAGAGGAGGCCGGGAAUCCCACCACCUUCCCGGCACCUAGGCUUUCCGCCGGGCCUCUCCCCACCCCGACUCUUUAUCAUGCUAAUUGAGAGGAGUGAGCUGCUUCAGUCGGAGCCAAGCUGGAGCUUAGGGCCGGAGGUUAGGACUGAGUAGGCAAUCAGAAAACAGGUCAAGGGGCGGGAUCCUGUCCCACCUCCCCCGGGGCAAGCUCUGAGGGCCCCCCCCCCCCCCCCCCCCCCCCCCGCCUCGCUGGUGUGGGGGAUUUGAAUAGCAUGACCAUAUGAUUGCUCAUCCAGAUUAGGACAUUUUUGAGAAUGAAAGGGAGCGCCCAUAGUAACUACCCCACGGCAAGAGCCGAGAAUGGGAGGCGAGGUCGCCCUAUUAUGGAACCACCUGCCUUGCCCCUUCUCCACCUCUGCAGUCACUCGGCGGCCACUCGCUGGGCAUUUAGUUGUGCUGGGCACUCUGCAGAGCUGGUGUUAUUGGAUCUUCAGGAUAACGAGUGGCCGAUCCAGUUAUUGUUCCCAUUUUAUUGGUGGAGAGACUGAGGCCCAGUAGACUCUUGCCCACGAACUCACAGCUGGAAGAGGCCUGGGAGAAGAAAUCUGAAUGCAGGAAAGGCAAACGGAGAUGGUCCUUGGGCGCCGCUAGACCGUCCAGAGGAAACAAUAUGCCUUGGCGUCAUUGGGAAGACCUUGAAUAGGGUCUGGAAAGAGGUGAGUUGAGAUGGGCCAGCCCUAAGGCAGGAAUCUGUUGGAUAUGUUUGAGGUCAGAGGGAGUGGGAGGGAUGGGGAGCAGGAGAGGAAGUGGCCCUGGAGACCAUCAUGAGGCUUUCGGCUUUCGCUCUGAGUGAGAUGGGGAUCCAUUGCAGGAUUCUAAGCAGAGAAGUGACAUGAUCAGACUUUUUUUUAAAAAAGUAUUUAUUAUUUUUUAAGGGGCAUUUUAAAGACUCUUUUUUAGAGCAGUUUUAGGUUCACAGCAAAAUUGAGAGGAAGGUGCAGAGAUUCCCCAUAUACCUCUUGUCCCCACACAUGCACAGCCUCCCCCAUUAUCAGCAGCCCCCGCUCCUCCCAGAGUGCUACAUUUGUUACAACUGAUGAGCCUAGAUCGACACGUUGUUAUCACCCACAGUCUAUAGUUUACAUUAGGGUUCACUUUUGCUGUUGCACAUUCUGUGGUUUUGGACAAAUGUAUAACGACCUGCAUCCAUCAUUAUAGCAUCAUACGGAGUAUUUUCACUGUUCUAGAAAUUCUCUGUGCCCUGAGAUUAAUGUUUUGAAGCUUCACUUCGGCUUGCGCGCUGAGAGUAAAUGGAAGGGUGGGGGCAGGGACAGAGGCGGGAGACCCGUUGGGGGGCACAGGCAGCACGGUUCACGAGAGCCCCACGGCCUGGAGGGGGCCCCCUCCGCAGCCUCCUCAGCAGAGCCUCCUGCCGCACCCCAUGCCUCUUCUGCUUCAGUCGAGCACGGAAGGGAACCCCUGGUGCUUGAGGGCCUACUAGGUGCGGGGCUUGCUUUAGGUGCUUCCUGUUGCUCACGUCAUUUAACCUUCAGACGCGUUCCUGAGGGAGGGAUUGUUCCACAGAUGUUUCAAAGCCCAUGUUCCGGGUUGAAUGGUGUCCUCCAAUUCGGUGGCGUUUGGAGGCAGGACCUUUGGAAGGUAAUCAGGUUUAGAUGUGGACAUGAGGGUGGAGCCCCCGUGAUGGGAUUAGUGCCCUUGUAGGAAGAGACCCAGACAGGUUGCUUCCUUUCUCUCCUCUCUCUUCCCCUCCUCGCCCCCCGACCAUGUGCAUGGAGGAGGAAAGGCACAUGAGCGCACAGUAGGAGAUGGCCUCUGCAGCCAGGAAGAGAGCUCACACCCGGAGCGGAAUCUGUUGGCCCCUUGACCUUGGACCUCUCAGCCUCGAGAACUGUGAGAAAAGAACGUUUGGUGUUUAAGCCACCUAGCCUAGCCUGUGGUACUUUAUUGUGGCAGCCCCAGCUGAUUAAGCUAGCCCAUUUUACAGACAAGGAAACUGAAACUCUGAGGUUGAGGUGACAAGUCACCCAGCUGGGGUGUGGCAGUGCCGUUACCCUGGGCUGUGAUGGGAGAUUCGGCUUGGAGGAGCCCUGCCUGGGGGCUGGGGAACCUGGCACUGAGGAGUCACAGAGGGACAAGUCUCAGGGUGAUUGGGCCUGCUGGGCUCCUGCCUGGAGGCAGCACUGUCUCUGUGCAGGUUCUCAGAGGCCUGGCUCCAGCUUUUCCAGGCAAGCAGGGGGUCUGUCCGGGGUCCCACUGAGGCUUCCUCGUGGCCUCCCAGCCUUGCUGGCGCCUUGAGCUGUCCAGGCUGGUGCUCCCGGAGGCGGCA